rnacentral:rRNA from 1 species
CCCUUAGAUGUUCUGGGCUGCACGCGCGCUACACUGAUGCGAUCAACAAGUUUUUCCUAUGUCGAUAGACACGGGUAAUCUUUUGAACUCGCAUCGUGAUGGGGAUAGAUUAUUGUAAUUAUUAAUCUUCAACGAGGAAUUCCUAGUAGGUGCAAAUCAUCAGUUUGCAUCGAUUACGUCCCUGCCCUUUGUACACACCGCCCGUCGCUGCUACCGAUUGGUUGAUCUGGUGAAUUAUUCGGACUGCCGGCUGAAGGGGUUUCCUCAUCUGCCAGCGGGAAGUCUUGUUAACCCUAUCAACUAGAGGAAGCAGAAGUCGUAACA